ensembl:snRNA U1 U1 spliceosomal RNA
CAACUUGCUUGGCAGGGGAGAUACCAUGAUCAUGAAGGUGGUUUUCCCAGGGUGAGGCUCAUCCAUUGCACUGCGGGUGUGCUGACCCCUGCGAUUUCCCCAAAUGCGGGAAACUCGACUGCAUAAUUUGUGAUAGUGGAGGAUUGUGUUCAUGCUUUCCCCUG